ensembl:lncRNA
UUUCAUAAACUCAUUACCAGCCGUGGUUACACAAAUUAGGGCCCUUUCAUAUCCUGUUCCUUCAAUUCAUGGAAACUAGAAAGGAAAUGUCUGAUUAUGUAAACCUCUAUCCUGUUCCUUAUCUUUAACAUCACAUGUAUUUAUCUUGGAGCAUCUAGGUGAUUGCAUGUAUCCACAAGGUUGGGAAUAAAUGACUGUGUUGACUAUAUUCUUUUUUAUUAUUAUUAUUUAUUAGCUGCAUUAAUAAUGGUCAACGGGAAAUCCUCAUGAAGAUAGUAAAACGUGUGUGUGUUUAUUAUGCAGGCGUUCAAUCACAGUUUUUCAUUAGGAAAAGUGUUUUUACAAGCAGUAACAUUUAAUACGACGACAACACGUCUACUUUUUGUUCUUGUUGUUAUAUAACCAUCUUUAAUGUCUCUACGCGGCGACCUUCACACGAUUAAAAUUAAAUUAAGCUGCCUGGUGUUAACCUGCCAAUAUCCCUCACAUUCACUGAGGUAAAGUUGUGAUGACGCAACACUGCCAGUAAUUCAGAUGACUUCCAGCCGGGCUGUUCCGGGAACUAAACCGCGCCCCCUCCGCGCUACGUCUUCAGCUGACUGCGCUACGGCAGGAGGGACGAGCUUCGGAACAGCCAACCGACUCAGUGCCAUAAACACAGGCGCAUACAAGCUUGCUGGCUUUAAACCCCGCCUCUUCAUACAGUUUCAAAGCUCUGAUUGGAUAUCAUCCCACUCUCGCGCGGCAAUUCCUCAAAGACCUGUCAAUCAUGGUGGAGUUAGGACGUUACAGCUCCUGACAGACAGAGCGCUACAGACUACACGGCUGCUGCUGCUGAUGUAAAAGUUAGGAGAACUCCGGUGUCGUUUAUUUUAUUUUAUUCCAUUCCGUCCGUACGUAAUUAAACACACAUAUCGGGUUUGAACACGGGUGUUUUGACAGAAGUGGCAGCGGAGGAGUCGCAACACUUUAACGAGGUUUUUUUCCCCUUCUUCUUCUUCUUCUCUCCCUUCACAUUUUUUCAAGCCACAUCCAUAAAGGGUAAGUAGCGACACCACCGCAUUUAAGCCAGUCUGCUUAUUUAACUUUUAACAAUUCACUCUAUAAAGUGUGUAGAUACGAAAUAUUUACAUGUUUACAUCCUGAAAAGUGUUCAGUUGUGUUUAAAAUCGAGCUACGCCUAAUUAAAGACUAUACCGUUUAUAUAAACAUGCCCCAGUUGGACUAAUAUCAGUGUAGCCUAAACGCUAGUAACGAAAUGAGCAAAUAACAACAUUAUAAACAUGAUAAAAAUAACAUUUUACCAUGUACUUUACAAAUAGUGACCGCUUAAUAUACACACAGGAAUGUCUUCAAGAUAAACAUGUCUGUUUUGCCUUUAUUUAUUUGUUUGUUUGUUUUUAUUUAUUUAUUUAUUUAUUUAUUUUUCCAGCAUUAUGCAGUGCAGAAGAUGGACUAUAGGGAUUAGAUCUUGGGGCUUAAAAUAUAUAAAUAAUAAUGUAUAAUAUUAAAUAUAUUAUAUAUUGUGCAGGGAUCAAAUAUCUUAAUACUUUCACGUUAUCACAUGAUCCCAAAAGCUGCUAAUUGUUUUAGCUGAAAUAAUAAAGCACUUUUAUACACACACAAAACCCCCAAAACAAGCACGUGCCAUGUUGUACUACCGCAUCAAUUAUGCAGAUAUUUAUAAAUAUUUCAUAACCCGCUAUAAUCGAGCAGAAAUGCGCGGUCUUUUUUUCUUUUCUUGCCUUUCUCCCUUUUUUGGUGCGCGCGGUCACCAGGGGGUAGUCCCUCAUUAAAUACCCUGCCAUGACGUCACCUCUUCCAGUAUUUGGACUCAGGGAAUCCUCGCGCGCACGCGCGCUUGUUUACCGCCGGGUCCUCGUGAUUCUCUCCGUGGCCUCAGUUUUCGGUUUUGGUCACUCGAGCUACCUUCAGGGGGACUUUUACAUGGCUACUUUAGCGUGACCAGAGUAAGAGUUCAGGGGGAAUUUUUCUAUAUGUCGUUAUUUUAAAGAGUCAUGCUGCUCUCACGUGCUGCACUUUCUGUUUUCCACCUGUGAAAGUGUGUGUGUGUGUUUUAACGCAAAUGCACCAUUAGUGUUUUGUUAUUUCUAUCUAGCCAGAUAACCUGGCCUGUUUUGUUUAUCUUAAGAUUUCAAGGUGUUGUUAAAAUAUACACGAUGCAACUGAAAGUUGGAGAUUUAACCCGGUGUCUAGGGCUGUGCCGUACUGUAUAGUCCAAGAUAUCCCGAUACACUUCUUCCCCAUGAUAAGAAUUUGUCCUACAAUAUCGAUGAUCUAGUUGAUGACCUGUUUACAUGCAGCAACGUGGACACCUCGGACAUAGAACAGAACAAGCGUAGAGGAGGGCGGAGUUCCAACCCUUGACGGGGAAGGAAGAAGAAUUAAUGCCCCCCCAAAAAAAGGAGUUUCCUUUAAAUUUACAUUCAUGGCAUUUAGCAGACACCCUUAGCUAGAGUGACUUACAUUCAUCUCAUUUAUACAACUAAGCAGUUGAGGGUUAAGGGCCUUGCCCAAGGGCCUAACAGUGGUAGCUUGGUAGUGCUGGGGCUUGAACUCCUGACCUUCUUAUCAGUAACCCAGAGCCUUUAACCACUGAGCCACCAUUGCCCUUCCUCCCUAAUAUGGAAGUGUUUCGGAUACAGAUCAUCAGAUGAGAAUCAAACGUCUGUGAUUUAAAAGUGUGUCAAAAACCCGUCUUGACGGAGGGUUGAAACAUAACAAAUUUGUUCCACCACCUCAACUGUACACACUGAUCAGCAUAUGAGGAAAGCCAGAAGUUUAGAUAGUGUUUUCAUAUCGUUGUUUAUAUUGUUACUGCAAAAAAUACCAUGAAAUAUCGUGAUGUAGUUUUAAGUCGAUAUCGCCCAUCCCUAUGGGUGGACCACUGAUCAUGGGUGGACCAGUCGGGUUUCAUACCUGGGUUGCUUCAGCUCGGGGGGGAAAAAAUGGCGGACGAACUCUCAGCCAACUUCGUCUACAAAAGUAGCUCAUUAUCGUUGUUGUAGCUCUCAUAUGACUGCUUACGUUAGUGUUUUUCAUUUUAUUUGAUGUUUUUUCUAGUCUAACGACUUUAAGUGUUCCAUGAUUUAAAAAAAACUAUCCACUAGCUAGCCCAGAGGUUCCCAAACUUUUCCAAGGCAAGGCCCCCCAAAUGGCAUUAACAUUUGACUGAGGCCCCCUUUUGCAAGAUGUUUUUAAAACACAUUAAAAAUAUAGACUUCUGAAUAUAUCCCCCUUUUUUAUUAAUAAUUACAUCCUACAUCUUUACAUUACACUACAUUAGGAAUUGAUUGUGUGUGUGGCUGUCUGAGAGUGUGAAAGAGAAAACAUACUAGUGGGAAGCAUGGGCAAACCAAAUUGUUGAGGCCCCCUGGUGGCCCCCACUUUGAAAACCACUGAGCUAGCCUACGAUCCUGAACAAAUUUACCUGACAUAUAAUAUCAGAAAGACGUCGGUCCUUUCGGCUCUUGAUGAAUGCCUGUGGUGACGAUUUACAACGCGAGUGCGUAGGCACGUGUCCCAGUGCGUAGUGAGCGCCACGGUCCUUAAUCGUGUACACGAUACACUGAUUCACCAGCGAGGGAGCUGAUUGAGACGCACCUGUGCUACUGGGAAACCCACUGAAGCUUUAUGAUCAGGAUUUAGGCUUUAUGUUUAUUCCACCCCAAUCAGAAUGGUUUCUGAAGCUCCUACUUGUAAUUCAAACUCGAAAAGACGUUUUAGGUCGGAUAACGUAUUCAUCAUGUGUCUGGCGUUUGGGUACGGCAACUUGAAACUUCAGUACAGAGAUUAGUUUACAUAAUGAGGGUAAUUAUGACAGAACUGUAACACAACACAAUUAGAACAGAUCCGUAACGCACACACACAAGUUUAUGUAAGUGUUUUGAGCAUGUGCAUCCGUAAUGCUAUCUCUAUAUCUCUCUCUCUCUAUCACCAUUUCUUUUCCUCUUUUAUGUUGGCAUGGCAAACAACGGAGAAGUGUCGGAUUUUUUCAGUGUGUGUUUUUCAUUUCACGCGCGCCGCUGAUCCGGCAGUAUGAGGAAACGUUUACGGCAAAAGGGCGGCUCCGGGACACUUCCAUUUCCAAAGUUAGAAAUAUAGUUGCACUACUGGAUGCCCUUUGUUUAUUUAUUUAGCUCAGUUACUCUGUUACUUCUUAACAGAGACCGAUCCUUUUCGCCCCGUCACGGUAGGCCAUGACUCCGCCCACAUCCACAGGACACAAAAGCUCACCGAAUAGUUUGACGAGAAUGAAAAUGGUAUGUUAUGGCCUUCACGUUCAUCAGGUCUGGAUCCAGUUGAACAGUUAGGGGAGGUUUUAGAGCGAGGUGUUUGUUAGCGCUCCCCACCACCAUCCUCAAAACACCAGCUGAAGGAAAAUCUUUCGGAUAAUUGUGUAACACGGUUUCCAAAGCGUGUUUCAUCUUUACCGAGGUGCAUUGACGCUGAUCUGGUAGCUCAUGGUUGCUUAAUAAGGAACCAGAUCUAGAUUUGGUUUUGCUCAUUGUGUGUAUGAUUUUCUUGUCUUUAUGGCUUAAUGGCUUCAUUGGGAAAUGAUUAGAAAUUGAUUUAUAUAAAAUAUGUAUAAAGAAGUGCCUUUCUUCCUAGUAUCCAUGCAGCUCACCCGUGCUCCUGUCAUUAAAGCUGUAGCAGAAUAUUACGGGCGUUUAAUCAGGCAUCGCGCACCUCCUGGAGGCGACGUGAUCGCAUUAACUCUGUAAACCGUGAACGAGAAGACGAAACUCUCCAGAGUCAUUUCACAGCAUGCGUUCUAAAAAGUACAUCGUGUACUCAUCUCCUCCGCGCCGUAGUACAAGGCCAUGUCAGAAGACAUCGCACAUUCGUGACGCGCUAAUAAACCCUUCGCGCCUGUGAACUGAGACUUCAUCUGAUUCACGAAGUCUUAGAUUAGGUUUGUGUAAGUUAUUUCCUUUCCUCUAAUCUUUGGAAUGAAUAAAUAAUAAAUAAAUAAUUCACCAGCUUUCCCAGCAGCUCCUACGGUAUUUUGUAACUGCGGACUGAAUAAUAUUUCCAGAUCAUUUCCUCUCAUACACUGUAUGAGUUUCAAAAGUUUGUGGGACCCUGACAGUCACACUCGUACUAUUCGUACACACUCAUACUGGAUGUCCCUCCCUCCAGCUUGCUGUAUUAAUAACAUCCACUCUUAUGGGAAGGAUUUAUGCAAGAUUUUGGAGCGUGGCUGUGGGGAUUUGUGAUCAUUCAACAACUGAGGGCAGUGAUAUUUUUCAGGUGCAGUCGAAUUUCCAGUCCCAAAUGGUGUUCAGUGGGGUUGAGGUCAGGGUUCUGUACAGAACACUCAAGUUCUUCUAGUCCAGCCUUGGUGAACCAUGUCUUCAUGGAGCUUGCUUUGUGUCAUGCUGGAGCAGGUUUGGGAACACGUUCUGCUUGUUCUGUCAUAGAAAGACAUCUGAACGAUCGACAUUUCUUCUCAAAGAUCACUGUUGUACUCUUGACGAAACCCAGUGGUCGUGGUCUCUUCCAGGACGAGGGUUUCCAGGAUGACGUCUGCUGACGAGGAUGAAAAUGACUGUAAAUCAUACAGUACAGAACGAUGGGAUCUCAACCCGAUGGAGCUUUCAGAGUGAUUAAUGUUAACGCCGUUAUUCAAACACCAUUUGAGCGAAUAUCUUUCGAGAGCACCCUCCGUCCCUCAUCGCAGCCGGUGGUGUCCCGGUGUCCCUUUCUGAAACGCAUCACAUUGUUUUUCUUUUAGGCUGCGCUUGAUGAAUCAGCACUAAUGCUCUCGAUAUAAGAGGAACACGAUGAAUUAUCUAGCCAGUCGAGUUCAGAGGUUUUUUUUCUUUUUCUUUUUUUUUGGCGAACUGAAAAUGUAGACCUGGUUUUUCUCCCUGUGGUUUGAUUUCACGUAACCUCAAUCUUCGCCUCAAUCAGGAUGCCAUGCCGUGACUUCUCAAUAAUUUGGGGGAGGGGAGGGAAACAGCUCUAGGCCUCGUCUGUGAGUUAUAUAACAGCUCUUAUGGUUGCAGAUUCACAGGUAUUCUCAUGAAACAUAACAAAAGUUACAGUAAGGUUUUAGUGGUUUGGAUUUUUCUUUCUUUCAUAUGAAAUCCAGAAAAAACACCUUUCUUGCUCAGUGGGGAUUCUUCAGAACCAGCUCUAAUGAGGAAAGCUGAAGGUUUGAGUAGCAGGUGUUUGAGGUCGAGACUUAUUAGAAAACCGAUCGUAUGGAUAGUUAAACGACGAAAAUGAGAGUGAGCGAUAGUGAGAGUUUAUGAACCGGUCAUUACGGUUACUUAGGAUAUUUAAGAAAUGAAAGUAUGGUGGAGAUGUUCACGUUACACCACAGCUGUGCUGACUUUUGGAGUCCAGUUAGUCAGAAGGUGCUGAUUAACACACAUGAGAACAGGAAGUAACUUCUCAGAGAUUUUUCCAUAACGAUAAACUUCUUCUUUAAGACCUUUUUGGAAUUGCUGUAUCGUAUAAGGAAUAAAACGCUUCACACCUACCUGAUUGGGAUUUUUAUUCUUUAAUUAUAAAAAGCGACUGCUGUAAUAAUGUAACCUCUUAAGCCUCCAGGUCAGUAUUUAAACACCAGUGUGUGGAAAGUGUCACGUGUAAUGAUUUACGAAAUGACAAUUUUGUUAAAUAACGCAACCUGACGUACGAAGUUUCCCUAAUGGUGGUGGCUGCAAUAAUUACAGGACACUAUUCCGAAAGAAGCGCGAAUUGUACCGGCUUUUAUUCAUGUAGUAGGAGUAAUGGUUCCAUUGGGAACCAUUAACAAUUAAAUCAGAUUAUUAAAUUAUAUUUAAAUAAUUUGAUUAAAGUUUGCGUCGUGUUUUGUUUUUGUUUGUUUUGUUUUAAAAAAAAAUAUUUAAAUAUCUGCUAUUUGGUGUGGUGGGAUUCAAGUACGGUCGCAUUCAUCCGGAUAAGUUUGAAAACGCAUCUUUUUCUCUACAUCUUGGCGUUGCGUUCACACCGAGACGGAGUUUUUUGCCAAGCAAAAACGGAGCUUUUCGAAAACGCCAUUUUUGCAUUGUAGUGUGGACCGAGUAAGCGGAGUUGUUCAAACACAACGACGCGUUUUUCAUACGUCAUGUUAGGCAGUCACGUCACAUGACCCAUUCAGCUCAAAAGAAACAAGACGGUGGAGGACGUUGUAUUGCGGUUGUUGUGCCUGCUGUCCGUUUUGAUGGUGUUAAACAUUGAUGUCACUUUGUACAGCCUUCAGACUGCAUUUAUAAACAGACGCCUGACGGAAAUGACGUACGCCGACGCUUCUUCAGCGUUUUCAGAUCCGUCCGGAUUAACGUGCACGUAGUCUUGCUCAAAUUUCCCCUGUUACAUGUCGAGCCGUUCGUAUCCGUGUGAGCAUCUGUUGCUGGAUUAUGCAAAGGAGUUAAACGAUGAACGGAGCGGUAAAACCAGUUUGCAUUUCAGUGAGAAUGUUCCAUUGCACAACUAAGUGGCGGGAUUACCGUCGUAUGUACUAUUUGUAUACAAACGCAGAGAACUUUUUUUCAUUUCUUGCUGAUAGAUCUGAAAUGUUUAAGGUCUAAUAUCAUGGAUGAUCUGCUGGUGGACAAAUUGUACACUGCAGUGGAAGUUCCCCGCAUGCCUCCUUUGAACCCAUCAUAACCUCAAUAGAGACCUCGGUAAUACGAAAGGAAAGCUCCAGACUGUACAGGAAGUGACUAAAGAAAGCUCGGCCUGAAGCAUUUAAGGAAUCGAGCAGUUUAGAGAGAUGAGAGUUGGGCUUCUUGUGGGUUGUCGUGUUCCUCCAGAGCUCUGCUGCUCUGUUUCUGUGGAACAGUCUUAUGAAACUUCUCACCCUUUCAGGAAACCAAGAGUCCCAGUUAUCAGCUGUUAUUCUCACUAUCGCUGCGACGAAGCGUCGCUUUUGCCUUUUAGCGAAACGAAAUAAAUUGGACGUGCGAAGGUUUUUGUUUUGUUUUUGUCAGUUCCUCGUUUAAGGUUUUAAGAGUUCAUAUCAAAUGGGUUGAGCGUGAAAGACGAUCCUUCCCCAUUUUUCAGAUGCGAAAUAGUUCAAUGUUUGUGGACAGGGAAUUAAGUUCUGCUAAAAGCUUGGUGCCAAUUUUAUGGUUUGUAGAAAUACUGAUCAGAUAUACCUAAUAAAUGUUCCACUUUAUUAAUAUGCAUUAAUAUAUGAAUCACUCAGCAUUGAUCGAGUGAGUGAGUGAGUGAUUGAUUGAUUGUUUUCCAGUAACAGGUGUUCUCUCACAGCAAUUUGCAACCAACCAUUAAAACGUUUUAAACAUAAAGAAAAACAUAAACAUUAUGUUUUGUACAAAAACAAACGUUUUUAAAAAAAAAUCCAUUUACAAAUAUAUUUAACGUCGUGGAACGUCCGCGAAACAAGACGGUUCCUGUUAUCGCUAUUGUUAUAGCAGCUAUAACCCGUCAUUUCCUCACAUACUUCUUCUUUUCUUUUCACCCUCUUGAAGUUAAUAAGAUGCACAAAAAAAGCAUGUGACUCGUUCCCAAGAAACUGCAGGACACGACGUCCCCGAGACCUUUUGAGUAAUACUGGUUACAAAGCUCUGACGCUGGAGACUCCUUCUGUAGACAUUGCACCAGCAGAUAUACCCGAGAGCAUUAAUAUACUGUAAACCUAUGAUUUCCCCACUACUAACCGAGCUGUGAUCAUUUCUCGAACAUUAUUCAGCACCUUCUGACCAAUCAGAAUCGAGAAUUUGGUAUCACCACGGUGUAACGAUCAACAAAAUGGUACGGUAAAGGACCCGCUGUAAUAAACAGGCUUUUACUGCUAAAGUAGACUUUGAGUGGUUUUAUGGACUCUACAGAAGAGAAAGUAAGUGUGAGUGUGUGUGUAUGGGGGGGUAAAGAUGUAAUUGCAACUACAGAGUAGGAGGUGAGAGACAGGGAUGAUAUCAAAGUCAGUGUUUCGCCCAUGGUGUCUGUGACUGAAACUAAACUGUACCAGAGGUUAGAGUGAUUUGAGGCCAGUGCAGGGAAUAUGUGGGGUGUGGUAGUGAAUUGAAAUGGUUGUGUGUGUGUGUAAGAUGCUCAGCUCCUCUGAUGCAUGAACAUGUUUCUCCAGCUGCAUGUAGAUCGUAGGUGAUUGUUCUAGAUGAAGUGUUUGAGACAGGACUUUGAGUAUUACAUGUUUACAGGCAGGUGGUUUCAGUAGCUCAGUAGCACAAUCUCCGGUUCUCUUCACCGCUCUGCUUUGGUUUUGUGGUCACGUUCCGAUUUAUGAGGGUGGCAGCUGAAUCUGCUAAAUUGCUUCCAUCCCCAAUUGCCACACACUCGCACCUUAGGAACGUCUAACCCGUCCACCUCGUCUCUCUGAUCCGCUCUAGUCCACGCUGUUCUCACAAGGUCGGCAUAAAAAAAGUACAUUCCGUGUCACAGCCAGUUGAUUUUUAUCUCCUUCUCGACCUACAUCGAGUUACGCAACCGAUUGCGAAACAUAACGCUAGCUCACGUCUGAAACCUGACUCGGAGCACUUAAAAGGGUUGCCAGAUCAGAACAGUUCAGAAUCCCC